rnacentral:rRNA from 1 species
GAUGAACGCUGGCGGCGUGCCUAAUACAUGCAAGUCGAGCGAACGGACGAGAAGCUUGCUUCUCUGUUAUUAGCGGCGGACGGGUGAGUAACACGUGGAUAACCUACCUAUAAGACUGGGAUAACUUCGGGAAACCGGAGCUAAUACCGGAUAAUAUUUUUAACCGCAUGGUUCAAAAGUGAAAGACGCUCUUGCUGUCCCUUAUAGAUGGAUCCGCGCUUCAUUAGCUAGUUGGUAAGGUAACGGCUUACCAAGGCAACGAUGCAUAGCCGACCUGAGAGGGUGAUCGGCCACACUGGAACGGAGACACGGUCCAGACUCCUACGGGAGGCAGCAGUAGGGAAUUUUCCGCAAUGGGCGAAAGCCUGACGGGGCAACGCCGCGUGAGGGAUGAAGGUCUUCGGAUCGUAAAACUCUGUUAUUAGGGAAGAACAUAUGUGUAAGUAACUGUGCACAUCUUGACGGUAACUAAUCAGAAAGCCACGGCUAACUACGUG